AGUACCCGCUGAACUUAAGCAUAUCAAUAAGCGGAGGAAAAGAAACCAACCGGGAUUGCCUUAGUAACGGCGAGUGAAGCGGCAAAAGCUCAAAUUUGAAAUCUGGCUACCUCGACGUCCGAGUUGUAAUUUGAAGAAGGCCGACUUUGUAGCUGGUCCUUGUCUAUGUUCCUUGGAACAGGACGUCAUAGAGGGUGAGAAUCCCGUGUGGCGAGGAUCCCAGUUAUUUGUAAAGUGCUUUCGACGAAGUCGAGUUGUUUGGGAAUGCAGCUCUAAGUGGGUGGUAAAUUCCAUCUAAAGCUAAAUAUUGGCGAGAGACCGAUAGCGAACAAGUACAGUGAUGGAAAGAUGAAAAGAACUUUGAAAAGAGAGUG
rnacentral:rRNA from 1 species